AUGGCAUGGGCGCUAGUCGGAAGCUGCAGGGCGAGAUCGACCGCGUCCUCAAGAAGGUCUAGGAGGGCGUUGACAUCUUCGACAACAUCUGGAACAAGGCAGUCUACGACACCGAGAAUGCGAACCAGAACGAGAAGUUUGAGGCGGACCUCAAGAAGGAGAUCAAGAAGCUGCAGCACUACUAGGACCAGAUCAAGACCUGGAUUCAGUCCAGCGAGAUCAAGGACAACAGAUACCUUGGUAUGGGAUGAAGUGAAGAGUGCGGAGUCACUUGAUCUUCAGUACUCGCGUGUGCUCUACCGACCGCCAUGA
rnacentral:rRNA from 1 species